UAGAAAUUUAUGUAAGGGGGGGCGCCAUAUAAAUAACAUAAUAUUAUAAUGGUCUAACUUUCAUUACAUGAAAAUUUAUACUACUAACUAAAUCCUAACGAUUGGUUCUACUAGAAGAUGGCAAUUGAAUCCUACGAGACGCCAUAUUUUGGAAGCGACGCAAAAUGACAUCAUUGUCAAUUUUUGUAAAUAUUUCCUUCUCGAUAUACACCACCAAACUAUCAUUCAUCCAUUCAUCUCCCAUCCUGUUUCUCAGAUCUGUCUUGACUAUAUUCAUUGCAGAAAAUACUUUUUCAACAGAAGCUGUUGCAACAGGUAGAAGUAAUGCCAAUUCUAUCAAACGAUACACCAAUGGAUAAGCUUGAGCUUUCCUAGUUGCCACCAUCUUUUUUGCAAGACUUCCCAAAUCUUCAAUCUCAGCAAAUU
rnacentral:lncRNA from 1 species